UACGAACUCUGGCGGCGUGCUUAACACAUGCAAGUCGAACGGAAAGGCCCUGCUUUUGUGGGGUGCUCGAGUGGCGAACGGGUGAGUAACACGUGAGUAACCUGCCCUUGACUUUGGGAUAACUUCAGGAAACUGGGGCUAAUACCGGAUAGGAGCUCCUGCUGCAUGGUGGGGGUUGGAAAGUUUCGGCGGUUGGGGAUGGACUCGCGGCUUAUCAGCUUGUUGGUGGGGUAGUGGCUUACCAAGGCUUUGACGGGUAGCCGGCCUGAGAGGGUGACCGGCCACAUUGGGACUGAGAUACGGCCCAGACUCCUACGGGAGGCAGCAGUGGGGAAUAUUGCACAAUGGGCGGAAGCCUGAUGCAGCAACGCCGCGUGCGGGAUGACGGCCUUCGGGUUGUAAACCGCUUUCGCCUGUGACGAAGCGUGAGUGACGGUAAUGGGUAAAGAAGCACCGGCUAACUACGUG
rnacentral:rRNA from 1 species